rnacentral:lncRNA from 1 species
AGUCUCCCACAGUUGUUGUCACUUUGUGUUAAGUCAUUGAAGGCUUAAUUGCGCAGUGGAGGGCCAUGCAGAGUAGUGCAUCUGCUAGUGUUACUGGUUGCCGAGGUCCCUCAGUUUAAGAUUUCCUCCUAUAAAUAAAUCUUCUCAUUACUUUGGGUAAUUAAUAAUUAUGAAUUGGGUUCUAAAUUAUUAGCUGUGUUUCAAAAACUGGCACAGUGAUUUAUUUAUUUGUUUUUAAUUUUUUAAAAUUAUUUUUACACUAAGGGGUUAGCUUCUGAGCUUGCCUUUUCAGUGAAAACUAGCAUGCUGAUGUGUGUUCAGAGGCAGGAUUCGAGAGUGGCAGCUGCUCACAUACAGGAAAAAGUAGACGUCUAAAGUAGCUACAGAAAGAACGAUUGUAGCAUUUUCUUUCUUACUGUAGAGUAAAUCCUACAGUUGGUGUUUAAGAUUUGAUGUAAAUAAUGAGGAGGCUCUCACUUCUUAGCCAGCUUAGAAAAGCAUUCCGUUUAUUCAGGGGAAGCGGAGUGAAUAUAUUUUUAUUAUUAUUUAGUAUAUGGGAAAAUAAAUUAUCUUCUGAGUAGAAUGUCUUAACUACUUUUGGUUCCUUCUCCAGAGUACAUUAUCUGUACUUUGACCUUUCGUGGAGUCUGCGGUGAAAUUCAAGACCAAUGAUGAUGACCACGGAUAACUAUGUAACACACACACACACACACAGUUCCAGCUCUUCCUGAGCUCCUAUGUCAUAGCUAACAUGUGAUACAGAGUGAAAUCCAUUUCAGGGCAGGGUUCCUCAGUUCUCUACACUAUUUUUAUUAACAGUAAGUAGUAUUUAGCAAUCUCUUAUUUAAAGAAGUACCGUUUUAAGCACCAUUCUGCUGUUUAUUUUAAAUAUUUUUAUAUAAAGGACUUUAAAAUGAUCGUCUAAAUAAGCUACAGUUGUCAAAUCAGUAAAUUUAACUUUAGGAACGCCGCGCAGUGCUGAGCUUGUGAUGAUUUAAAACCUGUAGGCAUUUGAAAAUCACUUGGAGAAUGCUACGUUUCAUUAGAAGUGUGAGUUGUGUCAAGUUUGUGUCAUGCAUUUUCAAGUAAUGUAAGACAGAGAGCAGUGAGAACCCCCAUUGAUAAAGCCAACAAGGGGCCAUCGAGGCCACUUGCCAAAACCUGAAGACCUGAUGAUGCCUGCAGCCCACGGGCUGGUGGCCAUGGCGCGCGCAGCCCUCCCCUGCAGGACAUAAAUGCGAGGGAGCAGACCAAUAAGUGCAGUGCGUGCGCUGACACAUUUCAUGUUGAAGUGUGUGUUUCCCCUAAGACCUGGAACAGCUGUCUUAAUCUAAAGGCAGCAUUCACGCCCUAAGCUGCUAGGAGCUCGGGGGUGUGUAUGCUGUGACCUAAGUGGUGCUCUCCCUUGGGGCAUUUUAGACUGAGAGCUGUUGAAGUGCACAGUGUCCAGCCUGCCUGGGACUCUUUGGGGCUUUGUAUUCCAUUUUGAGAAACUUUUUCUUCAGGUUAUUCUUUUUCUUGUGGCCAUAUUUCUUAUUGGAGUGUGAGUCUGUGUUUUUUUGUGAAAAACAUUUUAAGAAAGGAUAACCAGUGAAUUAUCAUGCAUUUGUCAACAAACUUAGAUGAGUAAAUUCAAGUUGUAUGUCUUCCCUACCCUCACCCACAACAAAACCUGUACAUUUUCUGCCAAUAACAUUUAAAUGAUGAACAGUUUUCUGUGAUAAGGUUUUAACCAUAAUUAAUGGUGGUCUUUGUUUUUAAAUCUUUUUUUUUUCUUAUUGUUGUUAACUAAUAAGACUUACUAUGUGUGUUUUAUACAGAAUUAUUACAGAUGAUUUUAAUUCAGUUCUAGUUUUCAGUCCUUAAGUGCCAUGCAAACUCUCUGUAUGUGGUGGAAGCCUCCUUCUCUCAGAGUCUCCGGGGAGACAGGCAGAGGGAUGGGCGCUUGGUGUCUUAGACACCACUUAUGUUGCAUAAGCUUGUGAUCAGAUCGGUUUAUCACAUGCAGCUGGAUGGGUGUCUAGUUAUCUGUGUCCCUGUUGCCAGUACUUAUUUAGAAAAUUGUUUUAAUUUUUAUCAUGUAGAACACUGCCUUGUUCACUAUAAUGUAAUCUGUAUUUGUAUAAUUUUUUUUACAUUAAAAUCUUUAAAUAAAAUGUUUAAUACCUAUG